rnacentral:rRNA from 1 species
UACGUAGGGUGCAAGCGUUAAUCGGAAUUACUGGGCGUAAAGCGUGCGCAGGCGGUUUUGUAAGUCUGUCGUGAAAUCCCCGGGCUUAACCUGGGAAUGGCGAUGGAGACUGCAAGGCUAGAGUUUGGCAGAGGGGGGUAGAAUUCCACGUGUAGCAGUGAAAUGCGUAGAGAUGUGGAGGAACACCGAUGGCGAAGGCAGCCCCCUGGGUCAAAACUGACGCUCAUGCACGAAAGCGUGGGGAGCAAACGGG